AAGAAGCCCUCGCCCUCCCCUCGCCCUCACUCACUCAGGAGUCAACAGGAUUUCUUUCAUCCCUUUGCCCCCACCCUACUAAACAGAAAAGAUGAUGCUUUGAGUUUUAUCCCACUUUUGGGUGCUAACCUCAGAAUAUGGAGCAACUGGAUUUAGUGAUUCUUGUGCUGUUAGGAAGGUCCCUGGUCUUUCAUAAGAAGAGGAAACAUAUUUUUGUUAUUUUCUGAUGCAAAGUUAUGCUCUCUAUGUAAGCUUGACACAAGACCAAGAAUAGUAGACCAUAAUUUUAGAAGGUUUCAAGACCUGAAACCACGUGGGGACAUGACUUGUAUUUUGAGGGAAAUGUUUUACCCCUUUUAAUAUACUAUGUUCUUUAUAUACUUGAAGUUAUGGACAUGCUAUCUUGUUGCUUGUUUUGGUGAGGGAUGAAAAAUGAACACUAGCUUGGGAGGGGCCAGAAUGGUAUAGCUCUUUAGAAAUAGCCAUGAUCUCAGGAUCAGAAACCCUUCCAACCCUAAUUACUUCUUCCAUUUUCUAAGUUAUGACCCUGGGUCAACAAACGAAACCUUUUGGAACUUUAUGUUCUACAUCUGUAAAGUCCUUGGCUUGCCUAUUUCACAACAUUAUUGUGUGACUCAGAUUAGAGUACUGUGUGUGUAUCAAACCCUUUGACUUUCAUAAAAUUGGAUGAAGAUAUGUUACUGCUGCAAAUCCAGAUUUCCAAAUGUAUUACUUAGAAAGAUGGAACAAAGUCUUUCUUAAAAACAAGUACUUUGCUCACUUCAUUUCAAGGCUUUGAAAUAAAACUUACAUUGGCUUUGACCUGUCCUAGUCUAGAAUUCAGUAAUCAUAGGAUUAGAUAUAAGCUAGUUAAGUUACAGUAUGAGGUGUUCAUGAUCCCUAAAACAGAAACUGUUUUAAGUCAGAUUACUCAGAAAGAAUACAGAUAAUAGGAACCUGUAUGAGUCCCUGCUUAACUUCUGCUCUGUGCAGACUUUGAAGAGCUUUAUUAUGUCAUUUGCCUAGAUUCUAAUUCAUUCUGUGGUCUUUCUAUGUAUGAAUGUUCAUAUAGUCAUGGUACAUUAAAAAAAAAAUGUAACCAUCAAAGAGCUUUAGAGCUUAUUAUUUAAACUCAUGUCUUUCUCCCACUCUCACCUUCACGGUAUUCUGGAGGCUAUCUACCUCUGAAGAGGUUGUAGAAGUUUACUGUGGAACCUUAGAGGUGUAGAAAAGGAAAAAAAGAAGAAAAACAUAUCCUCAG